CUAAGCCCCAGCCGCAGGCAAAGGAGCCACGCAAUCCGGCAGAGAAGCCCCACCCUCCACCGUUGCCAAAAAGAAGAAAACAAAAAGUUGCAAAUGCAGUCGACAGACAAUUUACCCAUAUGAUCAAAUAUUGGAAAGACGGAUGAAUGAGGGGAAGGCAGCAGAGGUCAAAGUGCGCUGGCUGCCUUGCUCUUCCUGGUAAGUGAUGGCUUAUUCUGUAUAUGUAUCCAUUAAUUCAUUAAUUUAUUAAUUCAUUAAUUCAUAUUAUUUCCACAUUUUCUUUGCCAUACAUAUGUA